rnacentral:rRNA from 1 species
CAGUCGAGCGGGGUAGCAAUAUCCAGCGGCGGACGGGUGAGGAAUACAUAGGAAUUUGCCUUUAGGUGGGGGAUAGCUUGGGGAAACUCAAGGUAAUACCGCAUGAUGUCGCAAGACCAAAGUGGGGGAUCGCAAGACCUCGCGCCUUUAGAGAAGCCUAUGUCUGAUUAGCUAGUUGGUAGUGUAAUGGACUACCAAGGCUACGAUCAGUAACUGGUCUGAGAGGACGAUCAGUCACACCGGAACUGAGACACGGUCCGGACUCCUACGGGAGGCAGCAGUGGGGAAUAUUGGACAAUGGGCGAAAGCCUGAUCCAGCAAUUCCGCGUGUGUGAAGAAGGCCUUCGGGUUGUAAAGCACUUUAGGUUGGGAAGAAAAAAGUUCUUCUAAUACGAGAACUCUUGACGGUACCAAAAGAAUAAGCACCGGCUAACUCUGUGCCAGCAGCCGCGGUAAUACAGAGGGUGCAAGCGUUAAUCGGAUUUACUGGGCGUAAAGCGUGCGUAGGUGGUCGUAUAAGUCGGAUGUGAAAGCCCUGGGCUCAACCUAGGAACUGCAUUCGAUACUGUAUGACUCGAGUUCGGUAGAGGGUGGUGGAAUUCCCGGUGUAGCGGUGAAAUGCGUAGAUAUCGGGAGGAACAUCAAUGGCGAAGGCAGCCACCUGGGCCUGAACUGACACUGAGGCACGAAAGCGUGGGUA